rnacentral:rRNA from 1 species
ACGGGUGAGUAACACGUGGGCAAUCUGCCCUUCACUCUGGGACAAGCCCUGGAAACGGGGUCUAAUACCGGAUAACACUCUGUCCCGCAUGGGACGGGGUUGAAAGCUCCGGCGGUGAAGGAUGAGCCCGCGGCCUAUCAGCUUGUUGGUGGGGUAAUGGCCUACCAAGGCGACGACGGGUAGCCGGCCUGAGAGGGCGACCGGCCACACUGGGACUGAGACACGGCCCAGACUCCUACGGGAGGCAGCAGUGGGGAAUAUUGCACAAUGGGCGAAAGCCUGAUGCAGCGACGCCGCGUGAGGGAUGACGGCCUUCGGGUUGUAAACCUCUUUCAGCAGGGAAGAAGCGAAAGUGACGGUACCUGCAGAAGAAGCGCCGGCUAACUACGUGCCAGCAGCCGCGGUAAUACGUAGGGCGCAAGCGUUGUCCGGAAUUAUUGGGCGUAAAGAGCUCGUAGGCGGCUUGUCACGUCGGAUGUGAAAGCCCGGGGCUUAACCCCGGGUCUGCAUUCGAUACGGGCUAGCUAGAGUGUGGUAGGGGAGAUCGGAAUUCCUGGUGUAGCGGUGAAAUGCGCAGAUAUCAGGAGGAACACCGGUGGCGAAGGCGGAUCUCUGGGCCAUUACUGACGCUGAGGAGCGAAAGCGUGGGGAGCGAACAGGAUUAGAUACCCUGGUAGU